rnacentral:rRNA from 1 species
CCUACGGGAGGCAGCAGUAAGGAAUAUUGGUCAAUGGACGCAAGUCUGAACCAGCCAUGCCGCGUGGAGGAUGACGGUCCUCUGGAUUGUAAACUUCUUUUCUCUGGGACGAAACCCCCGAUUUCUAUCGGGCCUGACGGUACCAGAGGAAUAAGCACCGGCUAACUCCGUGCCAGCAGCCGCGGUAAUACGGAGGGUGCAAGCGUUAUCCGGAUUCACUGGGUUUAAAGGGUGCGUAGGUGGGCAGAUAAGUCAGUGGUGAAAUCUCUGGGCUUAACCCGGAAACUGCCAUUGAUACUAUUUGUCUUGAAUUCUCUGGAGGUAAGCGGAAUAUGUCAUGUAGCGGUGAAAUGCUUAGAUAUGACAUAGAACACCCAUUGCGAAGGCAGCUUACUACGGAGACAUUGACACUGAGGCACGAAAGCGUGGGGAUCAAACAGGAUUAGAUACCCUGGUAGUCCACGCCCUAAACGAUGAUUACUCGACAUUAGCGAUAUUACUGUUAGUGUUNUAGACGAAGACAUAAGUUAAUACCUACCGUACGGUAAGGUAACGACCGACGAACGGUUAGUAACGUAACGAAGUAAGUUAGUACGGACGUGAGACGUAGACCGACGGACGACGACGAGGGAGGAGG